UACGUAGGGUGCAAGCGUUAAUCGGAAUUACUGGGCGUAAAGCGUGCGCAGGCGGUUCUAUAAGACAGAUGUGAAAUCCCCGGGCUCAACCUUGGAACUGCAUUUGUGACUGUAGAGCUGGAGUACGGCAGAGGGGGAUGGAAUUCCGCGUGUAGCAGUGAAAUGCGUAGAUAUCAGGAGGAACACCGAUGGCGAAGGCAGGUCUCUGGGCUGACACUGACGCUCAUGCACGAAAGCGUGGGGAGCAAACAGG
rnacentral:rRNA from 1 species